GCCUAAUACAUGCAAGUCGAGCGAGAAGACGUAGCAAUACGUUUGUAAAGCGGCGAACGGGUGAGGAAUACAUGGGUAACCUACCCUCGAGUGGGGAAUAACUAGCCGAAAGGUUAGCUAAUACCGCAUACGACUCUCGGUCUGCGGAUCGAGAGGGAAAGCGAUACCGUGGGUAUCGCGCUCAUGGAUGGGCUCAUGUCCUAUCAGCUUGUUGGUGAGGUAACGGCUCACCAAGGCUUCGACGGGUAGCUGGUCUGAGAGGACGAUCAGCCACACUGGCACUGCGACACGGGCCAGACUCCUACGGGAGGCAGCAGUAAGGAAUAUUGCGCAAUGGGCGACAGCCUGACGCAGCGACGCCGCGUGGGGGAUGAAGGUCUUCGGAUUGUAAACCCCUUUCGGCAGGGAAGAUGGAACGGGUAACCGUUCGGACGGUACCUGCAGAAGCAGCCACGGCUAACUUCGUGCCAGCAGCCGCGGUAAUACGAAGGUGGCAAGCGUUGUUCGGAUUUACUGGGCGUACAGGGAGCGUAGGCGGUUGGGUAAGCCUUUCGUGAAAUCUCCGGGCCUAACCCGGAAAGUGCGGAGGGGACUGCUCGGCUAGAGGAUGGGAGAGGAGCGCGGAAUUCCCGGUGUAGCGGUGAAAUGCGUAGAGAUCGGGAGGAAGGCCGGUGGCGAAGGCGGCGCUCUGGAACAUAUCUGACGCUGAGGCUCGAAAGCGUGGGGAGCAAACAGGAUUAGAUACCCUGGUAGUCCACGCCUUAAACUAUGAAUACUAAGUGUCGGCGGGUUACCGCCGGUGCCGCAGCUAACGCAUU
rnacentral:rRNA from 1 species